rnacentral:rRNA from 1 species
AGUGAACGCUGGCGGUAGGCCUAACACAUGCAAGUCGAACGGCAGCACAGGAGAGCUUGCUCUCUGGGUGGCGAGUGGCGGACGGGUGAGGAAUACAUCGGAAUCUACUUUUUCGUGGGGGAUAACGUAGGGAAACUUACGCUAAUACCGCAUACGACCUACGGGUGAAAGCAGGGGACCUUCGGUCCUUGCGCGAUUGAAUGAGCCGAUGUCGGAUUAGCUAGUUGGCGGGGUAAAGGCCCACGAAGGCGACGAUCCGUAGCGGGUCUGAGAGGAUGAUCAGCCACACUGGAACUGAGACACGGUCCAGACUCCUACGGGAGGCAGCAGUGGGGAAUAUUGGACAAUGGGCGCAAGCCUGAUCCAGCCAUACCGCGUGGGUGAAGAAGGCCUUCGGGUUGUAAAGCCCUUUUGUUGGGAAAGAAAUCCAGCUGGCUAAUACCCGGUUGGGAUGACGGUACCCAAAGAAUAAGCACCGGCUAACUUCGUGCCAGCCGCCGCAGUAA